CUAGCAGUGGAAUGGGGUCGUUAUGGAAUGAGGUUUAACUGCAUUGCACCUGGAGUAAUCUACACAAAGGGUGCCUUCGAUAGACUGGAUCCUACUGGUGAGUUCGCUAAGAAGCUUGUUGAAACUACCCCUACUGGUCGGAUGGGAGUACAGGAAGAGUUAACUAACCUUGCUUGUUAUCUAUGCAGUGAUUAUUCAAGCUGGUUUAAUGGAGAAGUGUUUAGGUUUGAUGGUGGCCAGACACUGCAGGCUUCAGGAAUGUUUAGUAGUUACCUUCAGCUCACCAAUGAAAACUGGGAUGAAACAGAAUCAAUGAUUAGAAAAACCAAAGGCUCAUAAUAUCGCAUGACAGUCAUUUGUAAAGAUGUUCCAUCAACACCAACUUAAAUUUCCUUCAUUAAAACAUGCUAGUAAUAUAUAUUUUAGAUAAAAUCUGGGAAUAGUUGUCAUCUGAGCCCACUUCAAGAAAGUCUUCACAUUUGUAUGAGGCCUUCGCUACAUAUGAUAACAAAAUAAAAAACAAAUGUGAAUAUGGUAAGAAUUUUGUUUGAAUGAAAGUCUAUUGGCUUAAAUAUGUCAAAACAUGUAACCAGCUCAAUAUUUCUUUCUUUGAUAAAGAUAGAGAGAGUUAAAUGAUUGCAUUUGUGUGAAGGCGAUUCACUAAACCUUAGCAUGGUAUCAAUCAUAACUCAUCAGUGUACAGUUUGCAUUAGUACCAUAACAAUAUGGUCUUCAAUCAGACCUGUCUUCUAUAUUUUAAAUGAGUUCCAUUGUAUUAUCAAUUUAUCCUCAAACUGGCCAUAGAGGAUACACAUUAAUUAUGUGGAGCUCAUCUGGCAUUGUGCAAAGAAAUUUACCACAAUUUUUUAUUUCAGCCCAGUUGACACUAGUGAAUUAUAUUGGUGACAUAAAUCGAGGAAACAGAAUUGAAAUUGAUGAAGAAAUUACAGAGUUCAAGAAGCUUUUUUUAUGAUUUAUGAAUAGAUUUUGUAUUAAUUAGUAUAAAUAAUUUAAAUUUCUGAAUUCUGUGUAGAAUCUUGGUGAACCUCAUGUAGCUCACAGAUCAGUCAAAUCAAAAUCAGUCAAAUAAGAAGCAUUUUUGGAGAGUUUUGAAAAAUAUACAUUAAUUAGCAUAUUUAAUGAGUUUCAAAAUUCUGUGUAGAAAUGUUGUAUCCCCACCUAGAGCUAUCAUAAAAAGCAAACAAAAUUGAAUUUGAUCAACAAAUGAAGUAGAAAAAGCAUUUUUUGUGAUUUAUGAAUAAAUCAGCAUAAUUUUCUAGUCAAAAUUUCAAAAUUCUGUGUACAAGUUUGGUGACCCUCAUGUAGCUCUACCAGAUGAAUGAAAAAAAAUAAAAUUGGUCAACAAUAAAAUAAAGAACAAGCAUUUUUUGUGAUUAUGAAUAAAUUUUGCAUAAAUUAGCAUAAAUAAUUUUGUAGCCAAAGUUUCUAAAUUCUGUGUACAAGUUUGGUGAACCUCAUGUAGCUCUACCAGAUGGAAGAAAAACAAAUCAAAAUCAGUCAACAAAUACAAAGAGGCACUUUCAGUUAUUUAUGAAUAAAUUUCGCAUAAAUUAGCAUAAAUUUUCUAGUCAAAAUUUCAAAAUUCUGUGUAAAAGUUUGGUGAACCUCAUGACGCUCAACUAGAAGGUAGAAAAAAAAAUCACAAUCAGUCAACAAAUAAAGGAGAAGCAUUUUUUGUAAAUUUUGAAAAAUGUGCAUAAAUUAGCAUAUUUAUGAUUUCAAAAUUUUAUGUGAUAUAUUUAAAUCCCAACCUAGUGCUAUCAUAUAGAGGAAACAGAAUUGAACUGGGACUCAAAAUGACGAAGAAGCAUUUUGAAAUUCAGUCAACAAAUAAAGAAGAGGCAUUUUCUGUGAUUUAUAGAUUUUGCAUAAAUUAGCAUAAAUAAUUUUCUACUCAAAAUUUCAAAAUUCUGUGUACAAGUUUGGUGAACCUCAUGAUGGUCUACCAGAUGGAAGGAAAAAAAAAUCAAAAUUGGUCAACAAAUAAAGAAGCAUUUUAUGUGAAUUUUUUUAAAUAUGCAUAAAUUAAUUUCGUAGAAAUUAGCAAAAGAUUUUCUCGUUAAAAUUUCCAAAUUCUGUGUAGAAGUUUGGUGAACCUCAUGAAGCUCUACCAGAUGAAAGCAAAAAAUCAAAAUCGGUCAAAAAAUAAAGAAGCAUUUUUGUGAAUUUUGAAAAAUGUGCAUAAAUCAGCAUAUUUAAUAAGUUUCAAAAUUCUGUGUAAAAGUUUUGAAUCCCCCACCUAGUGCUAUCAUAUAAAGCCAACAGAAUUGAAAUCAGACUUGAAAUGACAAAGAAGAAGCAUUUUGAAAUUGAUGACGGACGCCACGAUGUGCCUUCGAGCUAAAAAUGUGAAAAACUUGAUUAAUGUUUGUUAUCUUUGCUUGUUAUAUGAAGCGUGUCCAAACUGUAUUAUUAUAUAGUUGUUUUAUAUUCAUUUCAAUACCAAACCUAUGUUUCUACUUUGGAUUUUUCAAUUUAACUGGCCCUUUGCAGAAAAAAAUGCUGUUAAAUUGUGAAAAUCAAGUGCAAGUCUAACAUACACACUUCUGAUUAGUUAAAGUAAAUUUUGUUUGAUUUAUGGAAUAAUUGGUUGCAUCUCACAACAAUGAAAAUAAUUUUCUUAAGUCCACUUUACAUUCAUUAUGAAAUAUUCUUUUUUUCUGUUUGCAAAAUUAAAGCUGAUUUGAUGUCAGUCACACUUUUUGAUUCGAACUAAUUUCACUGGUGGAUAAAUAUCUGAAGACCAUCUGAAAUAAAUUAUAAACAUUCGUACAGACCCU